UACGUAGGGAGCAAGCGUUGUCCGGAAUCAUUGGGCGUAAAGCGCGCGUAGGUGGCUUCGUAAGUCCGUUGUGAAAGUCAAAGGCUCAACCCUUGAAAGCCGAUGGAUACUGCGGAGCUAGAGUACGGAAGAGGCGAGUGGAAUUCCCGGUGUAGCGGUGGAAUGCGCAGAUAUCGGGAGGAACACCGGUGGCGAAGGCGGCGACCUGGGUAGAUACUGACGCUGAGGUGCGAAAGCGUGGGGAGCAAACAGG
rnacentral:rRNA from 1 species